CCAUCUAAAUAUGUAUUUCAUAACAUAAACAUUCAUUUCAUUUAAAUAGUCAACAUGGCUUAUGAGUAUCUUAAAAGCUUGGCUCCUGCCAAAAUCAUUCUCAGGAAUACCUUGGCCGAGGCAUUUAACCGAGUCUGCCAAGGUUGUUAAAAAUUUCGUAUACACAUAAACAUAUUUUUAGUUUGAAAAACACAACCGUUCCUUGGCGUUAGCGGAGUUCAUCAUCACGAGGUGGUUCGACGUGAUGUGAACUCUAACCAUACCUCAGGAGAUACCCUACGCGCCUCUCCGAUCGAGGUAUAUAUAUAACCAAAUUUCGUGCCCCUCUAAUAAGAUGGUCCACAGAACCCACCCACUGCAGCAAGCUAAACCCACCAUACAAUAAAAUUUUGACAGCAUGACAUGACUAAUAUUAUACUACCCAGCUUGUAAAUGUAAAACAGAACAAUUCAUACAGUUCACAAACCACAAUUCCA
rnacentral:lncRNA from 1 species